rnacentral:rRNA from 1 species
GACGAACGCUGGCGGCGUGCUUAACACAUGCCAGUCGAACGGAAAGGCCUGCUUUCCCUUGUGGAUUGCGGGUACUCGAGUGGCGAACGGGUGAGUAACACGUGAGUGAUCUGCCCCCAACUUGGGUAUAAGCCUGGGAAACUGGGUCUAAUUCCCGAUAGGACUGCAGGGUGGUGCCUGUUGUGGAAAACGAUUUUCUAGUGGUUGGGGAUGAGCUCGCGGCCUAUCAGCUUGUUGGUGGGGUAAUGGCCUACCAAGGCGGCGACGGGUAGCCGGCCUGAGAGGGUGGACGGCCACAUUGGGACUGAGAUACGGCCCAGACGCCUACGGGAGGCAGCAGUGGGGAAUAUUGCACAAUGGGCGGAAGCCUGAUGCAGCGACGCCGCGUGGGGGAUGACGGCCUUCGGGUUGUAAACUCCUUUCGACCGCGAGGAAGCCACCUGGUUGGAAGGGUGGUGACGGUAGUGGUAGAAGAAGCACCGGCUAACUACGUG